rnacentral:rRNA from 1 species
GGGGGAUAUUGCGCAAUGGGGGCAACCCUGACGCAGCAACGCCGCGUGAAGGAUGAAGGUUUUCGGAUUGUAAACUUCUUUUAUUAAGGACGAAACUUGACGGUACUUAAUGAAUAAGCUCCGGCUAACUACGUGCCAGCAGCCGCGGUAAUACGUAGGGAGCAAGCGUUGUCCGGAUUUACUGGGUGUAAAGGGUGCGUAGGCGGCUUUGCAAGUCAGAUGUGAAAUCUAUGGGCUCAACCCAUAAACUGCAUUUGAAACUGUAGAGCUUGAGUGAAGUAGAGGCAGGCGGAAUUCCCCGUGUAGCGGUGAAAUGCGUAGAGAUGGGGAGGAACACCAGUGGCGAAGGCGGCCUGCUGGGCUUUAACUGACGCUGAGGCACGAAAGCGUGGGUAGCAAACAGGAUUAGAUACCCUGGUAGUCCACGCUGUAAACGAUGAUUACUAGGUGUGGGGGGUCUGACCCCUUCCGUGCCGGAGUUAACGCAAUAAGUAAUCCACCUGGGGAGUACGGCCGCAAGGUUGAAACUCAAAGGAAUUGACGGGGGCCCGCACAAGCAGUGGAGUAUGUGGUUUAAUUCGAAGCAACGCGAAGAACCUUACCAGGUCUUGACAUCCAACUAACGAAGUAGAGAUACAUUAGGUGCCCUUCGGGGAAAGUUGAGACAGGUGGUGCAUGGUUGUCGUCAGCUCGUGUCGUGAGAUGUUGGGUUAAGUCCCGCAACGAGCGCAACCCUUGCUAUUAGUUGCUACGCAAGAGCACUCUAAUAGGACUGCCGUUGACAAAACGGAGGAAGGUGGGGACGACGUCAAAUCAUCAUGCCCCUUAUGACCUGGGCUACACACGUACUACAAUGGAUGUUAACAGAGGGAAGCAAGACAGCGAUGUGGAGCAAACCCCUAAAAACAUUCUCAGUUCAGAUUGCAGGCUGCAACCCGCCUGCAUGAAGAUGGAAUUGCUAGUAAUCGCGGAUCAGCAUGCCGCGGUGAAUACGUUCCCG